rnacentral:rRNA from 1 species
UAGGGAAUCUUCCGCAAUGGGCGAAAGCCUGACGGAGCAACGCCGCGUGAGUGAUGAAGGUCUUCGGAUCGUAAAACUCUGUUAUUAGGGAAGAACAAAUGUGUAAGUAACUAUGCACGUCUUGACGGUACCUAAUCAGAAAGCCACGGCUAACUACGUGCCAGCAGCCGCGGUAAUACGUAGGUGGCAAGCGUUAUCCGGAAUUCUUGGGCGUAAAGCGCGCGUAGGCGGUUUUUUAAGUCUGAUGUGAAAGCCCACGGCUCAACCGUGGAGGGUCAUUGGAGACUGGAAAACUUGAGUGCAGAAGAGGAAAGUGGAAUUCCAUGUGUAGCGGUGAAAUGCGCAGAGAUAUGGAGGAACACCAGUGGCGAAGGCGACUUUCUGGUCUGUAACUGACGCUGAUGUGCGAAAGCGUGGGGAUCAAACAGG